CGUAUAAGUGGAGGAGGAUGCUGACACUUCUCCGCCAGAGUGUUAGCCAGUAAUGCUGCCCUGGUCCUGAAUUAUCAGGUCAACAACCAGUCCUUGAGACGGAACCUCCGACCUGUUCGUCCYCUGCUGCCGCCGCUGAYCUCAGCCUUCAACCCGAAACCCCUGACCAGCCUCCGACUCUCUAGGUCCUCCCCCGGUCCCAAAACUCUCCCCAAGCAGUUGCCUCGAGWCCUGCCAGACGAACCUAGGAUCAGAUUUCACAUUUGUUCACAUUCACUGUAAAUAAAUCACAUCAUUGUA